GAUCCUGACAAAAAGCCGUGAAACACGCGCCAGUGACAUUACAAAUUCCAGACCCGAUUAAAUGUAUAGUUGGUCUAGGGUUUUAGAUUUUUCCGUUCCUUGGGUUUGGUCUAGGGCUGCCAUUCGAGUUUCGGUUUCUACUGCAACAGGGGGACCUCGGUGGAGCAGGAACCAGACAGUUAAAGGGAGAAGAAAAUGAGGAGGAGAAGGAGGUUACGGUGACCAUGAUGAUGGCCCAGAGCUAAAACUACUGUUUGUUUUAGGUGAGCAUGAACAAGUGCUCGGUUCCUCUCUUCUCCUUUUCGAGCUCUCACCCCUUUUCGCUGUGGAAAUCACUCUCUUCAUUGAUAGAAAAAUGCUGGAAUCAAGUUUAUUGAAGUGAAGGGAUGGGCAUGAGAGGUUCAUGGUAGAUUUGUCUCCACUCAAGCCAGACCUCAAAGACACCUGCAAGGGCGAUUGAUGGCUGUUCCUCUGAAAUGGGAGGGUGCCAAAAUUUCCACAAUCUUCUAAAAGAGUUGUGGGGCACACUAUCCCUGGGAAAGCCAUAUUGGAAGGUCAUUUCCAAGAAAACUGCCGUUCUUUGUGGGAGGGAGGCAGCCCACAAGGAGAGGAGUUGGUUUGGUCAACUGGUGGUGCAUGUGCAGUUCUUCAGAUGAAACCCCCAAAAUCUUAUGUGAAGAUUUGCUACAGAUCAGCUGCUAUCGCCUGGGUGGUGGCUGAUUCUGUUCUGCGCGGUUUCUGUGCUAGAACCAAUGCGCCUUCCAUGGUUUUAGAACUAAUGAUAUUUGGAUGAUGACCCUCUCUUUGGGAUUUGCAGGACAAUGUAUGGAAUGGAAAGAGUUUUCCAAGGAAUUGGAUUAUGUCAAGCUAAACAAAUCAUUGUAAAAGUAUCCAAUUUGUCAGUGAUAUAAAAUGUGGCAUCAUAGUUGUAAA